rnacentral:rRNA from 1 species
UACGAGUGCCCCGAGCGUUAUCCGGAAUUAUUGGGCGUAAAGGGUGUGUAGGUGGUUGUGUUAGUCGUCUGUUAAAACCCGGGGCUCAACUCCGGAUCGGCGAACGAAACGGCACAACUAGAGGAUGGCAGGGAUGUAUGGAACUCAUGGAGUAGGGGUGAAAUCCGUUGAUAUCAUGGGGAACACCAAAAGCGAAGGCAGUACAUUGGGCCACUCCUGACACUGAAACACGAAAGCGUGGGUAGCGAAUGGG